rnacentral:rRNA from 1 species
CCCUUAGAUGUUCGGGGCCGCACGCGCGCUACACUGAAGGUAGCAGAGGGUGUGAUCGCUCCCGCCCCGAAGCGGGGCGGGUAAACCGUUGAACUACCUUCGUGGCUUGGGACCGGGGCUUGGAACUGUUGCCCGCGAACGAGGAAUUCCCAGUAAGCGCGAGUCAUAAGCUGGCGUUGAUUACGUCCCUGCCCUUUGUACACACCGCCCGUCGCUCCUACCGAUUGAAUGUUAAGGCGAACCCUCCGGAAUCGCGGUUCGGAUUGGUUUUCCUUUCUGAACCAACGAUGAAGUUGUGUAAGCCUUGACAUUUAGAGGAAGGAAAAGUCGUAACA